rnacentral:rRNA from 1 species
GACAGAGGGUGCAAACGUUGCUCGGAAUCAUUGGGCGUAAAGCGCGUGUAGGCGGCUUGUUACGUCGGGUGUGAAAGCCCGGGGCUCAACCCCGGCAGUGCACCCGAAACGGGGAAGCUAGAGUACUGGAGAGGCGAGUGGAAUUCCCGGUGUAGAGGUGAAAUUCGUAGAUAUCGGGAGGAACACCGGUGGCGAAGGCGACUCGCUGGCCAGGUUACUGACGCUGAGACGCGAAAGCGUGGGGAGCAAACAGG